rnacentral:rRNA from 1 species
AUUUAGAGGAAGGAGAAGUCGUAACAAGGUUUCCGUAGGUGAACCUGCGGAAGGAUCAUUGUCGAUACCUGCACAGCAGAACGACCCGCGAACCCGUAAAAACACACCGGGGGGCUCGGGGCCACAUGCCUCGUACCCCCUUUGGUCGGGGGCUGCACCCGUGACCCGCCUGGCGGUGCACGCGUGCCGCUCUCCCGGCCGCACAAACGAACCCCGGCGCAAACCGCGCCAAGGAAAACCCAACGGAUUGGCAUCGCCCCGUCGCCCCAGAGAUGGUGCGCGGUCGGGGUGUGCGUCGUAUUCUAUCAAUGUCAAAACGACUCUCGGCAACGGAUAUCUCGGCUCUCGCAUCGAUGAAGAACGUAGCGAAAUGCGAUACUUGGUGUGAAUUGCAGAAUCCCGUGAACCAUCGAAUCUUUGAACGCAAGUUGCGCCCGAAGCCUUUAGGCCGAGGGCACGUCUGCCUGGGCGUCACACAACGUUGCCCCCCCGACCCCGACCCCGAGGGCGGGGGGGCGGAUGCUGGCCUCCCGUGCGCCGCGGCGAGCGGUUGGCCGAAAUGCGAGUCCUCGGCGAUGCGUGCCGUAACAGUCGGUGGUUGUCCAACCCUCGGUGCCUUGUUGCGUGCACGGAUCGCCGUUGCGGAUCGAGAGACCCCAAUGCGCCGCUGCUGCGGCGUCUCCAACGCGACCCCAGGUCAGGCGGGGCCACCCGCUGAGUUU